rnacentral:tRNA from 1 species
AGGGGGAUGUAGCUCAACUGGGAGAGCGCUGCCCUUGCAAGGCAGAGGUUAGCGGUUCGAUCCCGCUCAUCUCCA